rnacentral:rRNA from 1 species
UACGUAGGGUGCAAGCGUUGUCCGGAAUUAUUGGGCGUAAAGAGCUCGUAGGCGGUUUGUCGCGUCUGCUGUGAAAACCCAGGGCUUAACCCUGGGCCUGCAGUGGGUACGGGCAGACUAGAGUGCGGUAGGGGAGAUCGGAAUUCCUGGUGUAGCGGUGAAAUGCGCAGAUAUCAGGAGGAACACCGGUGGCGAAGGCGGGUCUCUGGGCCGAUACUGACGCUGAGGAGCGAAAGCGUGGGGAGCGAACAGG